rnacentral:rRNA from 1 species
UACGUAGGGAGCGAGCGUUGUCCGAAGUUACUGGGCGUAAAGCGCGCGUAGGCGGGUCAUUAAGUGGGACGUGAAAGGCUGGGGCUCAACCCCAUGCAGUGCUUCUCAUACUGGUGGUCUUGAGUGAGGUAGGGAGAAGUGGAAUGGCUGGUGGAGCGGUGAAAUGCGUAGAUAUCAUUUGGAACGCCAAUGGUGAAAACAGGUAGCUGGGGCUGUGCUGACACUGAGACACGAAAGCCAGGGGAGCGAACGGG